rnacentral:rRNA from 1 species
GGGCGGGGAUUAGUGGCGAACGGGUGAGUAACACGUGGGCAAUCUGCCCUGCACGUCUGGGACAAGCCCUGGAAACGGGGUCUAAUACCGGAUAUGACUGUCCAUCGCAUGGUGGAUGGUGUAAAGCUCCGGCGGUGCAGGAUGAGCCCGCGGCCUAUCAGCUUGUUGGUGAGGUAGUGGCUCACCAAGGCGACGACGGGUAGCCGGCCUGAGAGGGCGACCGGCCACACUGGGACUGAGACACGGCCCAGACUCCUACGGGAGGCAGCAGUGGGGAAUAUUGCACAAUGGGCGAAAGCCUGAUGCAGCGACGCCGCGUGAGGGAUGACGGCCUUCGGGUUGUAAACCUCUUUCAGCAGGGAAGAAGCGAAAGUGACGGUACCUGCAGAAGAAGCGCCGGCUAACUACGUGCCAGCAGCCGCGGUAAUACGUAGGGCGCAAGCGUUGUCCGGAAUUAUUGGGCGUAAAGAGCUCGUAGGCGGCUUGUCACGUCGGUUGUGAAAGCCCGGGGCUUAACCCCGGGUCUGCAGUCGAUACGGGCAGGCUAGAGUUCGGUAGGGGAGAUCGGAAUUCCUGGUGUAGCGGUGAAAUGCGCAGAUAUCAGGAGGAACGCCGGUGGCGAAGGCGGAUCUCUGGGCCGAUACUGACGCUGAGGAGCGAA